GUGUCAGCAGCCGCGGUAAUACGUAGGGGGCAAGCGUUGUCCGGAUUUAUUGGGCGUAAAGAGCGUGUAGGCGGCCAGGUAGGUGGGUUGUGAAAACUGGAGGCUCAACCUUCAGACGUCGACCCAAACCCCCUGGCUAGAGUCCGGAAGAGGAGAGUGGAAUUCCUGGUGUAGCGGUGAAAUGCGCAGAUAUCAGGAAGAACACCCGUGGCGAAGGCGGCUCUCUGGGACGGUACUGACGCUGAGACGCGAAAGCGUGGGGAGCGAACAGGAUUAGAUACCCUGGUAGUCCACGCCGUAAACGAUGGGUGCUAGGUGUGGGGGGUGUCGACUCCCUCCGUGCCGAAGCUAACGCAUUAAGCACCCCGCCUGGGGAGUACGGCCGCAAGGCUAAA
rnacentral:rRNA from 1 species